UAAAUGAGUACUUCCAUCCUGCUGC
rnacentral:piRNA from 1 species